UGACAGCGAGGCUGAGACAUGCAUUAUGGCAGGAAUCCCAACUUCACAGGCUCGCUGUCCCUCCACCUGCAGCUGCAACAUCGGUUUGGAAAUGUGUUCAGCCUGCAGUUUGCCUGGACUCCAGUUUGCCUGGACCUCCAGUUGUGGUCAAUGGGCUGGUGGCUGGCGGGAGGCUCUGGUGAACCAAAGUGAGGACACCUCAGAUCGGCCUACAAUGUUCACCAAUGCACUACUAGGCUUUGGACCGAAAGCCCAAGGUAAAAGUCUAUAGGUCACAGGUGACAUCAGGGUAGAACCCUGAGCGCAGUGACCCACAGUGGACCGGGCUUAUUGUGCAUGGUAAUAUGUUCAAGGACAAUGGAGGUCCCUAUCCUCUGGCUAUGAAGUCAGAAAACAAGCUGUUGCACAGUGUUGGAGACAAAGUUUGUUUUGGAUCAGCAGCCAGGAGUGAGGGAAGGUUGCAAGGCACAGGUUAGUACUUUCUUGUCCUAACUUGAGCUCUGCUUUCUAGGGGUUAUUGGGGCACCCCUAUGGGCCCGCCUGGCAUGAGCAGCGGUGCUUCUGUGUGUCUACUCUGCGCAACUUUGGCCUGGGGAAGAAGUCCCUAGAGCAGUGGGUGACCGAGGAGGCCUCCCAUCUCUGUGCUGCUUUCGCCAACCAUGCUGGUAGGUCAUAGGUUGAGGGACAAGAAGAAUCUACUGGUACAGAAGUCACAAGAAGUGGCAACAGUAGGGGGAAUGCAUUUCUAUUUCCAGGACAACCCUUGCACCCCAGCACCCUGCUGAGCAAAGCAGUCUGUAACGUGAUCGCAUCUCUCAUCUAUGCAGGACGAUUUCAGUAUGAUGACUCGACAGUUAUCAAGAUAUUACAGUUUCUAGAGGAUACUGUGGGGGAGGACAAUGGCUUGUUGCUUCAGGUGCAGUGUUGAGCCCUGUGCAGUGACAGCGUCCUGCAGAAGGGCUCUAAGAAGAUAAUUUACCUGCAGCAGGGAUGGAAAGAAAGCAUCAGGGAGGAUCACUGCAGGAAGAAAGGUCUGGUGGUGGCAAAUCAGAAAGCAAUAAUGGGAGAGGUGGCUGAGGUUCAGAGAUGCAGAGAGGAUUAGAGCCUGUGUCCACGCUGGAAGCGACCCAAGCUCAUGAGAUUUCUGUGGUAGGAGGUUUCUGUGACAGCUCGGCAGCAGAAGAGAGCUUUGAUGCUGGCACAGUGGAGGCAUCGGGGCAAAGGUGUGCAGUGCCAGGCCUUGGGUCACCAUGGAGGAGGCUGGGUGUGAGAUGACACCUGUGAGUCUGGAGCACAGGAAGCACCCAGGCUCCCUCUGUGCUGUCACAGAUAGUGAACUCAAUGCCGCUGCUCCUGGGCAUCCCAUGGGUGGCUGCCAAAGUCCUGCCUGCACAGAGGUCCUUCAUGGCCUUGAAUAAUGAGCUGUUGGCUGAGCACAACACAAGCUGGGACCCAGACCAGCCUCCCCGAGAUCUGACUGAUGCUUUCCUGACUGAGGUGCAUAAGGUGAGAGUGGGCUGUGAGUAGGGAUCAGGGUCUGUGAGCCAAGUGUUCUGGGAGGUGUGAGGCCACGUGGGACCUCAGCAUCUCCCAGAGACCCAGCACCUGUGCUGAGGUGUGGUGCAAGUGGAAUCCUGUCUGUGUGUCUGUUUGACUGACUUAUUCCCCUUGAGGGAAUGUCCAGGUCUCCUACCUCUUUCAGGAGAUAGAGGUACUUCCAGCAUUUUUUUAUGAUUUUAUUUUUUUCAUUUAAAGAAAGAAUAAACAAAACAGAAAAAGGGUAGAAAUAAUACAUAAUUUCAAAGAAAAUAUAAACAGUAAGAAAUUAUUAAUUGAUAAUUACAUAUAAUCCUCUUACAAAUACUUGUUCAAGUUACAACAGUGAAGCAUGCAAAGUGGACAUUCAAAGAGCGAGACUGCAAACAGUUCUGUUCAACCAUCAAACAACAACUAGUACUAUGAUUAUCAAUCCUAUACACUUAUAUAUGCAUGCAGUUAUCCAUACCUUCAUGUAUGUUAAGAUUAAGCAAACCAGAGCAGGCUAAAAUCACUCUGAACAAAGAAUAAUAGUAUUCCUGGAUUACACAUCAUGACACUACGGGAUCAGCACUGGGUACUGUAGUGUCUCUUUUUCUUCAAAGUAGUUGUUCAUUUCAUCAUUCAUUAUAUGAUCAAUUCUCAUAAGCUGUUUAUAGGUUCUAUGUAUGCAUGAGUCUGUGUAUGUAUUUCUGUGCUUUCUAUAUUAUAUUAGAGGGAGAAAUAAAACAAAGGAAGAAAAAACAAAAUAUAUUCCUAUAAACACUGAAAUGAAAAGUCAUAUAAAACCACAGUACAAGGUGUUCUACAGUGGUUACUCUGUUGUCUCUUGUUAUCUUCAAUAGAAUAGAAUUUCAUGAUCAGGCAUAGUAUAAUUGCAUACAGCAGUACAUAACAAUAUUAAUAAAAACAAAACGUUGUAGAUAGUGUAAAACUUCAAAAACAGGUAAUAAUGAAACCAGAAUGCGUAUUGCAGUGGAUCUUGUCAUCUUCAGUGUAGUUGCCUAUACUCUCAGACUUGAUGCUAUCAAUCAUAACAGUUUUGAAUAAAAUCUGUCGAUACCCAACAGCAGUCUAACAAACCAGAUUUAACUGAGAUCAGUCAUGGUAACCAUAUAAGUCAUACAGGGCUCCAGAUUAAGUUUAUAGGAAAUUAAGGAUGAUUACCAUACUAUAUCCUGUGAUUUCCGGGAUAGCUGUCUGUGCCCUCAGAUCUAGUGGAAUUAGACAGAUUGGGACACAAUAUAAUCUAUCUAAACAAAGCGGUGUGACUAAUGUGGGUUUUAAAUCCUGAUACACUAUUAACAAGAGUCCUCUGCCUUCUUGUGUUCUCCUUUCAAUCCCACAGGGUGUACUGUCCAUUUUUGGGUCCCACCAACUCCCUCAGUUUUCAGAUUUGGGGGGCCAACCUGCUAUUUACCUAAGUGGUUCCAAACCUUCUCCCUCCUGGGGUUGAUCUCAUGUUACAUUCCUUUACCUACAAUACCUGUCUUUCCAACCUAUCUGCAGGUACUGUUUGAGUUACCCCUAUUACUCUCUGGUUUCCUGUCACAUAGAGCAUUGUUUCUUCAUAUUUGACUUUCAGUCUGUAAACUCUUUCACAGGUUAAUUAUAUUUUCUAUAUAGAGCAUCUUGGUGGACCCUACCUCCUGAUCUACUCUACCUGUGUUUCUUUUUUUCUUUUCUUUUCUUUUUUUUUAGUGUACCAGGGCCAUCUACAUUAGAGAUUGUAGCCAACCUUCUCUGCCUCAUUUCUGUUGUGCUAUUUUCCUGCCAUUAGUUAUCUGCUUUUCUCCUUCAUGGCACUUUCUGCUCCAUUCAUUGAGGCCUCUUUGCCACUGUUUCUGAAAUCCUGGUGCUUCUUUCUCUCUCUAGAAUGUCCUACAGUAUUCUCUGUAGAGUUGGAUUGGUGGUCAAGAAUUCCCCCAGUUCCUCUUUGUCUUGGAAACAUCUUGUUUCUCCAUUAAUUUCUAGAGACAGUUUUCCAGGGUACAUCAAUCUGGGUUGGAGGUUAUUUUCUUUCUGGGCUUGGAAUAUUUUGCCCCAAGCUCUUCUUGAUUUAAUGGUCUGUGUCGAGACGUCUGCUGUGAUUUUGAUGGGUUUUCCUUUAUAGGUGAUCUAUUUCUUUUCACUGAUGGCUUUUAAUAUUGUGUUCUUAUAUUGAAUUUCUGGGAUCUUGAUUAUUAUAUGUCUGGGUAUAGCUCUGUUUUGGUUGUAGUUGGCUGGAGUAUUGUAUGCCUCAUAUAUCUGAAUAUCAUUUCCUUUUCCUAUGCUUGAAAAGUUUUCCUUUAUUAUUUCUGUGAAUAGCCUUUGUAUUUCCUUUGUUAUUACUCCUGAUUCUUUAUUCUCAUUCUUUAUUCUUAAGUUAUAGAUCCUGUUGUUGUCUUGUAGGCUUUGUAUUGUUACUGCCUGUUUCCUUGAUAUUGUUAAGAAAUUUUUCCUUUCAUGAUCACACAUUGCAAAGCUGUCUUCAAGUUUUGAUAGUCUAUCUUUAGUUUCUUUCAAGCAGUUUUGCCAGCUUUCAAUGGAGUUUUUUGUUUCUUGGUAAUCUCUUUGAACCUGCUUCAUGUAUUCUAGGUUUUCUUUAUUUCUUCAUUGAAUGUUUCUCUCAUUUUUUUUGGUAUUCCUCCAUUCUUCCAUGUGUAUCUUUUUGAGAGGCACUUAGCAUUUCUGUUAUUAAUCUGCUUCUAUCUUGCUUUACUUGAUUAAAUAUUUCACUUUUGAGUGUGUCAAUGAGGUCCUAAAGAUAUCUCUUUAUUUCCACUGAUGCUGUGUCUGAUAUUGCAUGUUUGCUGUCCUCAAUCUGUUUUGUAUUUAUCUCUCCUGGAUCAAUGUUAUCAGGGCUGGGGGCUGGGGACUUUUUCUUGUUUCUUUCUCAUGUUUUUGGUUUCUUAAAAACUGGUGUAUAGAUGAGGUCCCAGCCCCUUUCCUUGUUGGUUAUGGUUCUUCUGAAGCACGCUGGCUAGGGAUUUCUGUCUUCUCCAGUUUGCUAUUGGUCACUGAGGUGAAAACAGCGGUGGCAUGCUGGCCACUUCCCUCUGAGUCAGUAUACAUGUGGGGGCCUUCACUGCAUUAGGAUGUGCUGUGUUUGGAAUUGGUUUGGGACAGCUUAUUGUUUCCUGGCCAGGGAUGUGACCCAGGCCAAGCAGAUCCCACCAAUCUGGUCUGGGAGGCGAACAACUGACUGAAGUCACUGCUGUUACUUUUCCUGCUAGUCCCGCCCAAUUCCAACAUAUUGUCCAGUUGGUCCCCCCUUUCUCGUGGGAGGGUCUUAUUCCCAGCAUUCAUCGCAGGUCAAUGCAGGUCUCUUACCCGCUCUGUUCUCUGUUGGGUUCACUGGCUUCCAACUUCAGUGCAACCACGGUUCCAAAGAGUUGCAGCAGCGGUAGUUCAGGCAGCUUGGUCAAAGCAGUGGGAGUUUGGGCAGCUCGAUCUAAGCAGUGGGAGAUUGAACAGCUCAAUCCCAAAGGCAGGAAUUCUGGCUACUCCUCGAGUUGUGGCCACUCAAGUUCGGGCACUCUGGUGAGAGCACCAUAGCCAUUAAUCUUAGCUGCUUAAAUGGUAGCUCCAGGACUGCAUGUUUGACUGUUUUUUUUCCCUUUUAAUUUCUUCCUGAGUUGAGAGGAUCCAUCUCCCUCUGUCUGGACCUCCCCACAAUGUUUUAUUCCAGCAUCUGAGUUGACUGUCUCAGGGAGCCUCUGUAUUCUGCUGCUUAUCUAUCCGCCAUCUUUAGCUCCUCCCCCAUUCCACCUUUUAAAACAAUCUUUAUUUAAAGAAAUACAAAACAAAAUAGAAAACAGGUAGAAUACAUACUUUCAAAGAAAAAAAUAAACAGUAAUAAAGUUAUUAUUUACAUAUUGUCCUCUUACAAAUAAUUGUUCAAGAUGCAAAAGUGGAACAUAUAAAUGGGAAUUCAAACAGUGAGACUGCAAAUAGUUGUGUUCAACCAUCUAAUAAAAACUUAGUAAUAUGGUUAUCAAUCCUAUACAAUAAAACAUAUAUGCAUUUAUCCAUAUCUUCACUUAUGUUGAGAUUAAAAAAAACAAAGCAGACUAAAAUCACUCUGAACAAAGUAUAAUAGUAUUGCUGGAUUUCACAUCAUGACACUCUGGAAUCAGCACUGGGUAAUGUAGUGCCUUUUUUUCCUUCAGAGUAUUUGUUCAUUUCAUCAUGUGUCAUAAGAUCAGUUCUCAUAAACUGUUUAUAGGUUUUACACAAGCAUGAGUCUUAGCAUGUAUUUCUAUCCUUUCUGUAUUACAGGGAGAAAUAGAACAAAGCAGGAUGAUAAAAAACAUAUUCCUGUAGACACAUAAAACUAAAAAGACAUAUAAAACUCUUGUAUAAGGAGUUGUACCAUUGUUACUGUGUUUUCUUGUUAUCAGUAGAAUUGGCUGUAGCAACAGAUAUAGUGUAAUUGAAUAUAUCAGCACAUAAUAAUAUUAAUAGAAAUACAACUUUGUAGAUAGUGUAGAACUACAGAAACAGGUAGUAAUCAAACCAGGAUGGGUACUGUACUGAAUCAUUAUCAUUUUCAGUAUAAUUGCUUAUACUCUCAGACUUGAUACUAUCAACCUUAACAGUUUUGAAUAAAAUCUGUCAAUGACAAGCAGCAAUGAAACAAGUCAUAUUUAACUAAGAUCAGUCAUGAUAUAACAGUAUAAGAUAUACAGGGAUCCAGAUUAAGUUAAUAGGAAAUUAAAGAUGAUUACUGUGCUUGGGAUAGCUGUCUGUGCCCUCAGUUCUAGUGCUUGUAUAUAAACUGGGAUGGAAUAAGUUCUAUCUAAGCAGAGUGGUGCAAGUAAUAUGGGUUUUAAUUCCUGAUACACUAUUAGCAAUAUCUUCUGCUGUCUUUUUAAAGACUAUUCCUCCCCUUUCACUCUCCCAGGGUGUACUGUGCAUUUUUGGAUCUCCCCAACACACUUGGUUUUAUAUUGGGGGGAGGGGAAACCUGCUAUUUAGCUAAGUGGUUUGAACCUUCUCACUCCUAGACUUGAUUUUUAGUUGUAUUUCCUUACCUAGUAAAGCCUGUCUUUGCAACCUAUCCAUAAAUACUGAUUCCGUAGCCCCUAUUCCUCUCUGGUUCCCUAUCACAUAGAGUACUGUUUUCUCAUACUUGAUUUUUAGGCCAUAUAUCCUUCUUCAGGUAAAUUAUCUUUCCUAUAAAGAGCACCUCAGUGGACCCUACCUCUUGAUCCACUCUGCAUGUGAUUUUCUCUUUUUUUUCCUUAAGUUGGAGUGUCCAGGCCUCUAUAUUAGAAAUUAUAUUCAACCUUCUCUGCCUCAUUUCUGUUAUUCUCUUUUUCCAUCAUUAGUUGUCUGUUUGUCUUUUUCAUUUUGCUUUCUGCCCCACUCAUUGAGACCUCUCUGCCACUGUUCCUGAAAUCCUGGUACUUUUAUCUCUCUUCAGAAUGUCCUGCAGUAUUCUCUGUAGAGUUGGAUUGGUGGUUGUGAAUUCCCCCAGUUCCUCUAAAUCUUGGAAGCAUCUUGUUUCUCUAUUAAUUUCUAGAGACAGUUUUUCAGGGUAUAUCAAUGUGUGCUGGAGGUUAUUUUCUUUCAGGGCUUGGAAUACUUCGCUCCAUGUUCUUCUCGAUUUGAUGGUCUGUGUUGAGAAGUCUGCCAUGAUUCUGAUGGGCUUUCCCAUGUAAGUAAUCUGUUUCUUGUCUCUGACAGCUUUUAACAUUCUGUUCCACCAGUUUUAAGGCCCACUUAUUUUCCAUUGGGUGACAGUGUAGCUAUCUUCUAGUAACCGUGUUUCCUUUUCCUGGGCUCAUUUAAAAGUGACAAUGUAUUGUCUGAAAAUCUUAUGUGAAAAUUUCAGAAAUAAUAAUUUGUGAAUUUUCAAUUGUGAAACACACUGAGGAGCACAAUUAAACUUACUAAUCUACUUCCAUGAUGUUCAGUAAGACCAUGAAAUUCCUGUCCAGUAUCUUCCUGCUGGGUUGGCUAUAGACCAUCAGUUACUUGGUUGUGUGAGCAUCUGUUUCCGUGUCACAGUGCUGGUUUGAAGGGAGAAGAGACUCCAUCCACACACACUCAGCGUGGCACACUAUCACUGUCCUCCUGGGCCUGGGUUAUACAUCACCUUCUUCCUGAUGCAUAUGUGUAGGAGACACCGUAGUGUAUUUACAAUUGGUUGUAUCUACCCAUAUGGGAACCAGCUAGCUGGGGUCUUGGGGGUGCUCCCACCUCCGAGGGCUGACUGCUGUCCCAGUUUUCUUCCUCCAGCCCUCUGUAGAUGCACACUCAUGGUGCCUCCAUUCCUGUACCACAGUGAAACCUGCUGCAGUGGUCCUGGGUGUGCAGACUCUGCACUGCGCUUCUUGUGGGUGUGAGCUGAGAAGGGCAGCUUCUGAGUAGAGGAGAAUUCUCUUUAGUUUCAGGAGAAGCCCCCUGUUUUAUCUCAUAUGGUACCUUUACCAUUUGAGGGUCUCAUGGAGAGCCCCAGCCUGCACGUCUGCCUACCCGAGUUUUCCGUGGUUCUCUCACAAAGGCCAUCAGGAUGCGUGUGAGGGUGCAUCUCAGUGUGCUUUCAUUUGCCCUAUUCUAAUAAUAAGCAACAUAUGAGCAUCCUUUCCUGUGCUCAUGGGGCCUACUGUAUAGUUUCCUUCGAGAAAUGACAAUUCAACUCUUUGCUAAUUUUUAAAUUGAAUGAUGUCAUUUUGGUCGUUGUGCAGUAUUUCUGCUAUUAAUGUUUUGUCACAUUUACGACUAGUAGUUGUUUUUCUCAAUGGUAUGGGCUUCCCUUUUCCUUCUGUUGAUGGUGAUAUUCGGUGGACAAUACCUGUAAUUUUCGUGAAGUCUAAUCUGCUUUCUCUUUCUUGACUGUUCCACUGAUUUCCAUCCAAAGUAUCACUGCCAAACCCAGCUCGGGGAAACGUUUGCUUUGUGCUCAUGCAUCUCGCUCUCUGAUCUGUUUAAGGACAGUCUGUGUGUGUGGUGGCAGCUGAGCGCUGCACUUCAUUCCUGUCCCCAGGGAUGCAUGUGUUUCCCAGCACCAUUUAUUGAGAGACUGUUCUGUCCCCAUGCACUGAAAAUCAUGGGGCCUUUUUUGGUCAAAUGAUGAGUGUUGGGAGGAUGUUUGCAGAACACAAUUCCUUCUCAUGCCGAAGCAUGAACUUCUACACACGUAGGUGGUGUAACCUGCUCUGCCCAGAGGUUCGAUGGAGGAGCCUACUGCUCUUAGUCUACCAACCAGUAAAGCUUGUUACUGUGCUCAGUGUUUUAGGGGUUCAUAACAUGAUAAUAUGAGGUCACCCUACCGGGCAUAAGAAUUUUUAGAUCCAUUAUAGUCAUAAAGUACUCCCCAUAAGUGCUGGUCAUUGACUGAAAGGUAGAUCUGUGGUAUGUCAUUUCCAGGGUGUGUUUCCUAAGCCUUUCUCUGUUGCUGUGUACAUCCUACUUCACAACUGUGUCACCCUGUUUUGAUUAGUGAGCUUUGAACCCAUGGCUCCCACAGUAGUUUGACAUGACUUUGGACUUUAUUGCAGAAAAGAGAUACGACUCGGUACACUCAGUCCUGAGAGCUUUAAACUUUCGUCUUUUAUUAAGCUUUCAGUAUGUGAAUAGAUACUAUCUGGGGAGGUUGAGUUAUGACAGGGUCCACUGGCUGAGGGGUAAUUAUUUUUCUCUGGUUGUGGGGAUUGAACCCAGGGCUUUUAUAUGCUAAUUCUCAUGAAUAUGUACAAAAUGAUAUUACAUGCUGUUUCUGCAGCAGUGGAGAUGCUCAUAUGGCUUUUUCCUUUGGUCCUGUUAGUGUGGGUCCUGUGAUGAUCGGUUCUUAUGUGAGAGACCAGAUAGGAAGAUGAAAGCUAACUGGUCUCUUAAGUGACCGUUAGACAGGGUGGGUAAGCCUGUGCUGCAGUGCUCCCAGGAAGACUGAUGCACAGUGUCCGGCUGUUCACUCGGGUAGGCACCAUGCAUGGUGGGCAACAUAUGAAUGCUGGUUUACUCUAAUCGCCUGUGACCAUGUCUACGUGAGUGAAGUCAGGAAGUGCCAGUCCCACGGGGCUUUUUGUCAAAGGGAAAGGACAGCACCAUGGCCCCCACCUUUAACCUAAUUCUGUGUCUCUUGGUGUUGCAUCUUCACUACCCCUGAGUCAGUUACAAACUCAUCGGUCCCCCCAUGCAGUUUUCAUAUGUUUAAGCAUCAUGGCAGUGCAGAAAUAGUUUCCAAAAGGUGAGUGUUGGGAUGGGAGCUGUCUGGUCCUUGGUGUCUAGGACCUCUGUCAGGCCCUCAAAGUCUGUCUGCUCCACCCACUCGCCUCCCCUUGUCCAGUCCGAGUACCUGCUGUCACACAGCCCCACUGGGCCAUCCUGGGUUUUGCACUGUUAUUGCUUAAAUCAUUUUCAAGUUGUCUGGGCUUCUCAGAGGAAUCUGUAGAUGAGGAUUUGAAACAAGAGGCUUGAAAGAGAAGCAUAGGCUUGUCUGUGGAAGGUCCAGUGAAAAGUGAGCUGAAGGGAGAACAAAGAAUCUUACAUCUUUCCAAGGAAGGAGUUGCUUCAAUCAAAGGGGAAAUGAAACCAGAACUGCAGUGGCUAGCUGUACAAGCUCUCUCAUCUCCUGACAGGAAGAAGCCUGGGCUCCUCAUGGGGGAGGCUUGACGUGAGCACUGCUUUGUGCUGAGAUUCUUCAGGCAUCUGUGGCCUGGGAACAAAGUCUUAGUUUCUCUCCUCCAGGGUGGUUAGAUGAGGUACGCUGUAUGUGAGGGUGCUUGUGUGCUUUGCUUGGAGAAUAGGCACAUGUGACCUGUUUGUGGCCUGGUCAGAGAGGGUGGAAAGCAACUGAACCUGCUAGAAGUGGUUUUGAGAACCCUUGGACACCAGUUAAUCCUUGUUGGACUGCAAAAUUAUCCCUGAAGCAUGCAAGACAGACCUACUACUGUCUGACAAACCCUCGCACAUCGCCAAAGUCCUGCCGGUUUGGUCUGUCAGCUUCCUGACCUCCACUUGCUGUUCACUGUGCUUCUUGGAGCAGUGAUCCACCAUGCUCCAGGGCUGAAACCUGCAUAAGCAGUGUGUUUGGUUCCAUGGAACUUUCUUCCCAGGACUCUCCCCUGCCCUGAGUAUCACCAGGAAGAGGCAGAGGUGCAGGGCCAUUGGAAAUUUUCUGCCCUGGCCCCUCCCUGCACUCCCUGAUUGCACAGUGUUCACACAGAUUGUCCCACACCAGAGGACAAAGGACAGGAUUAGCUGCUUUAUAAGAGGACAGGUGGCCAGUUCCAAUAUGCAGGGAGAGGUAGAGUAUGCUCUCUGCCUAAGCUUCCCAGAGUGGUGAAAGCUUCUUUUGCUCAGAGCAACCCAUUGGUUGGUGGGCAGCCAUGGGGCUGCUGACUGGGGAUGCACUAUUCUCUGUGGCCAUGGCUGUGGCUAUCUUCCUGUUCCUGGUGGACUUGAUGCACAGGUGCCAAUGCUGGGCUGCUCACUACUCACUAGGCACUGUUCCAGUGCCUGGACUUGGUAACCUGCUGCAGGUGGACUUCAAAAACAUGGUGUACUCCUGCUACAAGGUGGGGAAGCUGGUGGUGGAGAGCGGCAGAGGUCAGGGACCCCUCUAUAGUAAUAGACAGUGGGGUACAAUAUCACAUGUUAGACAAUCACAUGGUUUUAUCUGAAGGGGGAAGCAGAGGAUAUGUAUUGUAGAGGACUGCAACAGGGAAGAAAACUGUGGACUUUCCAUUGGGAGAGGAGUGGGAGGACAAACUACAGGAAGUUGGGCAGGAUAAGGUAGCGGGCCUGGCAUCCAAUUUUAUGGAUGACAUCAGAAUCUUGGGGCUUGGGAGCAGGGUAAGGGAGUCUUAAGCAUCACUGGAAUCUAGAAAUUGAUGUUGAAAGAAGUUCUAUCUCUAGCAUCAAAUCCUUUGUCUUCCAUGGGGUCGUAGUGCUCUCUGUUUCCCUCUGUGAAGCUGAGUUUCCUCAUCUGAAUGAUGAGAGAGGAUAAGACCUUGUGUCCACAUUUCACUGACAGUUUCUGCCCUCUACUUAGGCCAUAGCUGGGUUGUCAGAUCCAGGUGUAAACUGGUCGUUCUGAACUUCAGAAAUGUGGCAGGAGCCUGAAGAUGCUAGCUGUUGGACAGUAGUUGGUGUUGGGUGCUGAUGUAGCAAGAAUGAGGGCAUGAGUGACCACAUCACUCCCAUAAAGAAAAAGGAGAAGAAAACAGCAAACAGAAAAGAGAAGGUGGUAGACCUAUUGUUUGCACUGUUUGAACUGUGUCUCCGUGUCUUGGGAGUGAGACUAAAGCAUCCAUAAUGGAAGGAGUCCCAGCUUCACAAGAGUCCUGUGCCCCCAUCCACAGUGACAAAAUCAGUGUGGGAAUGUGUUCAGCCUGCAAUUUGCCUGGACACCAGUGGUCAUGGUCAACAGGUUGGUGGCUUUGCGGAAGGCUGUGGUGAACCACAGCAAGGACACCUCAGGUCAGCCCACAGUGCCGAGCAAUGACCUGCUGGGCUUUGGACUGAAUUCCCAAGGUAAAGUUCAAUGGGCCACAGAUGACAAUAGUGUAGAACUGUGGGGGCACCCAUGGUGGACAGGGCUUAUUGUGUAUGGUAAUAUGUUCAAAGGAAAAUGGAAAUCCAUGUCCUCUGACUAUGAAGCCAGAAAAGGAGCUGUUGCACAUUAUUGGAGACAAAGUUUGUGUCUGAUCAGCAGCCAGGAGGGAGUGGAUGAUACAAGGGCACAGGGAUCAAACUCACGACUGCCUACUUACAAGGCAGGCGCUUAUGCUGCUGAGCUAAAUCCCCAGCCCCCGAUAAUAAGAUUCUUGUACCUUGCAUCUCUCCCUGGAAUACACCAUUGCUCCCAGUCCAGAAGCUGGGGAUGCAAGGUUACUGGCCAGUGCAAAACCUCUGGGAAGUCAACAGUCAGCAGCCCUGAAUCCAGCCACAUGGCUGCCCGAUGAGGAUCUGUCAGCCCCAUGCCAUGAAUGCUCCACCUUAAUUGACAGCUACCAGAGCCUUCGAUCCGACCUGACCGACAAACCUCUAGAAGGGGAACCAUCAUUCUUCUCAGAUGGUAGUAGCUACAUGUACCAAGGUAAAUGAGUUGCAGGGGUGGCUGUGACCUCUGAGACCCAAAGUUUGUGAGCACAGAGGCUGGACUCUGCACUUCUGCUCAGUGAGCUGAACUCAUCGCUUUGACAAAAGCCUUGAAACUGACUAAAGGUAAUCGGAUUAACAUCUACACUGAUAGCAGAUACGCUUUUGCUACUGCUCAUGUACAUGGGGCAAUUUAUCAGGAGAGAGGACUAUUGACCUCAGCAGGAGAUAAAAUAAAAAAUGCCCCUCAAAUAUUAGACCUGCUGGCAGCAAUUUGGUUACCUGAGAAAGUAGCCAUCAUACAUUGCAAGGCCCACCAAAAAGGAGAUGAUUGUGUUACCAGGAGAAACAAGUUGGCUGAUAUAGCAGCCAAAGAAGCUGCCAUAAAAUCAGUGGGGUUUGAAGAAGGGGACAUAGAGGAAACCACUCCUACCCUCUUGGUGAUCCCUCCAACGUUAUCAGAACCUGUGUAUACACAAAAGGACCUCCACUUGGCUGCCCAAAUCCAGGAGAAGCCCGACAUUCCAGGAGGCUGGUAUCAGUUACCAGAUAAGAGAAUCUUGCUGCUCGAAGUCCUCAGACAGGAGCUCAUUCAGCAAGCUCAUCAAUCCACUCAUUUGGCAGGAUCAAAACUAGCCGAGCUCUUUUGGGAAUGAUUCUUUACACCCCAGCUGUCCAAAUUGACAGUGGCUGCCAGUUCAAGAUGUCCUCAAUGUCAAAUAGUUAACUUCACAUGGAAACUACUUGUUUUUGGGGAACUUCCCCAAGGGCACACCAGGAAAUAGACUUUACUGAAAUGAAGAAGCUGGGUCUCCAGGGACACAAAUACCUGCUAGCGAUGGUCAACACCUUCACUGGGUGGGUGGAGGCAUUUCCCACCAGGUCAGAAUCAGCUCUCACAGUCGUUUAAAAGUUGUUAUAUGAGAUCAUUCCUCAUUUUGGCCUACCCUUAUCUAUGGGGUCUGACAAUGGCCCGGCUUUCAUAGCCCAGAUAACUCAAAAACUAACCCAGGCCUUACAGAUUGAUUGGAAACUUCAUUGCACGUACCGACCUCAGAGCUCAGGGCAAGUAGAGAGGAUGAAUCAGACAUUAAAAAAUACGAUUACAAAGCUGUCUUUAGAAACCUGCAAUAAUUGGAUAAGUCUCUUUGCUUUUGCCCUCCUGCAGACCAAAUGUACUUCUUACAUUUCUGGUAUAUCCCCUUUUGAAGCAAUGUACAGGAGGCCCCCUCCUCUCAUUCCAAAACUCUCUGAGGAAAAAUUGGCAGAAUUGACUAACCAAGAACUCAUUAAGUUUCUUCAGGCUCUUCAGCCCAUCUUGACCUCUAUAUAUCGGUUAUUCAGGCCAAAGCAUCCUCCAGUAGAAUCUCACUCUGAGUCCAGCCCACUGGUGGAACCCAGUACUCUGGUCCUAGUCAAGCAUCACCAAUGAGAGACCCUCGAGCCUCGCUGGGAGGGACAGUCCACCAUGUUACUCAGCUCUCCCACUGCAGUGAAGGUGACUGGAAAAACACCUUGGAUCCCCCACUCUCAUGUGAAGGUUCUGGACACCCAAGGAGACCAACUUUCCCAGGACCAGUGGACUGUGCAGCAGACUGGUAACCCCUUGAAGUUAAAAUUGACUGAGUUAAAUUGUAUCAGGCAUGUGCUGCUUUAGCUUGCUUGCUUUUGCCCCUUCUGUCCCACUACUGGGGACUUUAAUGGCGCUGUUACCGACCUCACACAGCGAGUUUGGACCUCCUGUAAGCAAAGAACAGCUGUCCUGUUGCCUGACAUAGAGGUUUUACCUGGGCUUGAGCCUGUCCCUAUUCCUAGCCUGAAUUACAUUACAGGCCACUCAAAAAGAGCAGUUCAAUUUAUUCCUUUAUUGGUAGGUCUGGGAAUAUCAGAAGCCCUGGGUAUGGGGGCAGCAGGAGUGGGGGGGUCUCUGUUCAACUUCCAACGAGAUCAUUAAAGAUGUACAGGCAUUGUUUAGUACCAUUCAGGACAUUCAAGAUCAGGUAGAUUCGUUAGCUGAAGUGGACCUUCAAAAUAGAAGAGGGCUAGACCUCCUGAAAAUCUAGUUAAAAAAAAAAGGGGAGAGCUAUUUGAAAACCCCCUUUGGAGUGUCUGGAAUGGAAUCCUGCCUUGUCUUCUGCCCUUGCUUGGACUGUUGCUAGGAUUGCUACUCUUGGUUUUAAUAGGCCCCUGUAUAGUCAACAGGCUAACUACGUCUAUCAGGCAGCAAGUACAAGAUGCGAGGCUGAUGGUGUUAUGCCACCAAGGUUAUGAAAUGUUACUGCUUCACCAUCAAGAUUAGUUCUCAAGUCUUCCCCAAAGAUUUGAAGAAGAAGACAUAAAAUCAGUGGGGAAUGUUGUAACCUAAGUGCAGAACACGAUGUCUUCCUAAUCUAAACUUGCUUGUUAGCCCACCUGAACCUUGUUCUUCCCAAGAAAUGUAACCGCUGCAUUCCUGUUCUGUAGUGCACUGCAAACCCCACCCCUCUGCAUUGUGAGACCAGCAGCUGUGUGCGGUUUUACAGGAUAAAAACCCUGCCCUUUAGCUGUUAGGCACGCAGUCUUCCAUAUUGGCUACUGGAGGCUGCAUCACCAGGCCUGUACUUUAAUAAAUAAUUUUUUUCUUCCCAAAUUAUUUUCUCUGGCUACUUCAUACCUCAGGAAGAGGACCACCACACUAUGACCCUCCUGAGUUGGGGAGUGGUGCUUCUGUGUGUCCAUCCUGCACAACUUUGCCUGGGAAAGAAGCCACUGGAGCAGUGCAUGACUGAGGAGCCCACCUCCUUCUGUGCCACCUUUCCCUCCUAGCAUGAAUUCUGCAGUGAAUCCGUCUGGGCCUGGGCUCUUCUUUGUAGUGCAAUAAAUUUUCCUCUGAGGACAGCUUUCAUUGCAUCCCACAGAUUCCGACUGGACAACUAUUGUGAAGACAAUGAGAUGCAUUGUGGGCCCUAUACUGUUAUCCCAGGAUCCUCUGUGAAGUUUUGAAGCAAUUUCACUGCAUUGACUCAAUUGGCUAUGGUCUGUUUUGUUCUGUUGUAUUUUACUACCUUCAAAAUAAAAUAAAGAUAAAAAUAAAAAAAUACUA